rnacentral:miRNA from 12 species
AGCAAACACAGUAGUGUACAAUGC